CCCGGAGUGGCGGAAUGGCAGACGCAUCAGACUCAAAAUCUGACAGGAUCUAUCCUAUGUGAGUUCAAGUCUCAUCUCCGGGACCA
rnacentral:tRNA from 1 species